rnacentral:rRNA from 1 species
UACGUAGGGUGCGAGCGUUGUUCGGAUUCACUGGGCGUAAAGCGUGCGCAGGCGGUGAUGUAAGACAGUUGUGAAAUCCCCGGGCUCAACCUGGGAACUGCAUCUGUGACUGCAUCGCUGGAGUGCGGCAGAGGGGGAUGGAAUUCCGCGUGUAGCAGUGAAAUGCGUAGAUAUGCGGAGGAACACCGAUGGCGAAGGCAAUCCCCUGGGCCUGCACUGACGCUCAUGCACGAAAGCGUGGGGAGCAAACAGG